GUGCUCGCCUUGGCAGCAGAUAUACUAGAAAACUGAACAAUACAGAGAAGAUUAGCAUGGCCCCUGCGCAAGGAUGAUACACAAAUUCAUGAAGGGUUCCAUAUUUUU
ensembl:snRNA U6 U6 spliceosomal RNA